GUAUCAUUUUGUAGCACUCUACCCUAUUGUUUGGUUAUGUUUUAAAUUAAAACUUGUGCUUUUAAUCUAUUUUGUAUUUGUUAUUCAGUUUAUUGAGCUCUAGGUACCACUUUAGGCAUUUGAAGCAAAAUGGUGCAAAAACGUGCAAAGACUGGAGACUAAGUUACAAAUUCGUUUCGAACUUAUCUUCUUCAUAUGAGCUUGGAUUAGGCCAAAUUACAUGUGGUUGGAAAGAAGACAUUCUGAACUCGAAGAUGGUGGGCUCAAAGUCGUUAUUUGAUUGAGAGAAACCCAAUUCGUGAGCCUAAGAAGUUAUUCAUCAUUCUGACCUAAGCAUGACAUAAUUGAUGCUUGUUCAUGAUGAGCUAUGCAUGAGAUAUUGCUUCUAGUGGGAUUUGUUGGUGAAGUGCAGCAGCCAAGAAACUGAUUUUCAAUUGCAAGUGUUGUAGGUAGAAGUCAUAUUGAAAUCAGAGGUCCUAUUUCCUUCUCCCUGUAAAUACUACUUCCAUUCCAAACACUUUCAUUAAUCACAUCCUGGGAUUCACAAUCCCUCUCUUCCAACUCCUACCAGAUCACCUAUUCCAGCACAAUUCUCACUCAAACAUUCAUUAAUCACAACCUCAUACACCUUUCCCAGCAACCACUCCAUCCUUCAUAUCCCCAUCAUUUCCCAAACACAAUCCACACAUCCACACCACUCUUCAUCUCUGGCUGCAAGUAUACAUGGUGGAAGCUGUGAGGAGCUCUUCAACAACAUAAUUUGUUCUUCUCGGGUUUUUCUUACCUUCUUCAUGUUUUUAUUAUGAUUCAAUUGUAUUUUCCAUUAAUGGGGUGUAACUAAUUACCAUAGCUAGGGUUUCAUUGUAGCCUGACAAUACAGUUUCAUGUUUUCAAGUUAAUGUUACUCCUUGUUGAUUCUAAUUUUUUGGUCUCAUUCACUUGUUUUUAGUUGAAUCUUUAUGCA
rnacentral:lncRNA from 1 species